GACGAACGCUGGCGGCGUGCCUAAUACAUGCAAGUCGAACGAGAGCAACCGGUGCUUGCACUGGUCAAUCUAGUGGCGAACGGGUGAGUAACACGUGGGUAACCUGCCCAUCAGAGGGGGAUAACAUCCGGAAACGGAUGCUAAAACCGCAUAGGUCUUCGAACCGCAUGGUUUGAAGAGGAAAAGAGGCGCAAGCUUCUGCUGAUGGAUGGACCCGCGGUGCAUUAGCUAGUUGGUGAGGUAACGGCUCACCAAGGCCGUGAUGCAUAGCCGACCUGAGAGGGUGAUCGGCCACAUUGGGACUGAGACACGGCCCAAACUCCUACGGGAGGCAGCAGUAGGGAAUCUUCCGCAAUGGACGCAAGUCUGACGGAGCAACGCCGCGUGGGUGAAGAAGGUUUUCGGAUCGUAAAACUCUGUUGUUAGAGAAGAACAAGUGCUAGAGUAACUGUUAGCGCCUUGACGGUAUCUAACCAGAAAGCCACGGCUAACUACGUG
rnacentral:rRNA from 1 species